rnacentral:rRNA from 1 species
GACGAACGCUGGCGGCGUGCUUAACACAUGCAAGUCGAACGGAAAGGCCUGCUUUCCCUUGUGGAUUGCGGGUACUCGAGUGGCGAACGGGUGAGUAACACGUGAGUGAUCUGCCCCCAACUUGGGUAUAGGCCUGGGAAACUGGGUCUAAUUCCCGAUAGGACUGCAGGGUGGUGCCUGUGGUGGAAAACGAUUUUCUAGUGGUUGGGGAUGAGCUCGCGGCCUAUCAGCUUGUUGGUGGGGUAAUGGCCUACCAAGGCGGCGACGGGUAGCCGGCCUGGGAGGGUGGACGGCCACAUUGGGACUGAGAUACGGCCCAGACUCCUACGGGAGGCAGCAGUGGGGAAUAUGGCACAAUGGGCGGAAGCCUGAUGCAGCGACGCCGCGUGGGGGAUGACGGCCUUCGGGUUGUAAACUCCUUUCGACCGCGAGGAAGCCACCUGGUUGGAAGGGUGGUGACGGUAGUGGUAGAAGAAGCACCGGCUAACUACGUG